ACCUCCAGGAGCCUGAGAUGGAAACAGAUGGCCAGAGCAGGCAAGAAUGGCCUACAUUUGUUCCAUCCAGUUGUUCCCAACGAUGGCAAAAAGUCAUUAAAAAUGCACUUAAGAAUCUAGCUUAAUAUUGAUCAAUGGCAGGGUUAUGGGAGAUGUUGAAUCUUGACAGAGCAAGAACUGUAUGAGGAACCAAAUGAUUUUUUUCUGAUGGAGUAUUAGAGAAAGCACUGUCAUAAUACAAUUUCCCAGACAGAUUCAUCAAUGAUGUCAACUGUUACCCCAAGUUUUGAAUGAUGACUCAGAUUUAAGAAUUCUAGAUUAAUGGGUGGUGGGGGGGGAAAUAGUCACGUUCUCGCUAAUGGAUAGGAUGGAAACACCCAAAGUGACCUAAAGGAAGUUAUUCGCCAUGCAAUUCCUGAAGACAAGAGCAAUAGUCCACCUUCCCUGACUUGGAAUCUCACUUUUUUCCCAAAGUGCCAGUGAAGCAUCAAAAAUUUAUUUUCUGCAAUGAAAGGCAGCCGUACUGAGGUCAUCUGAGAAAUGCUUUUCCGUCCAAGGAGUUGUCAGUGAUGGAGAACUUGGGGUGAAGCUGUAAAGAUGUUCCUGCAUCAAAAUGCACAGCUUGGCCGAGGCCAGCCAGAAAAAUGUCUCUUCUGUCUCACUUUCUUUUGCAUUCCCAGUGCCACUGCUGUCAGCUCUGUAUUGCACAAUUGCUAGAGCCCCUCACUAAUCUCCUCACCUCAACCUUACCCCCUCUAAGUCUUUCUGGCCAGGUGACAGAAAGCCUCCACUGUGAAAACCUGACCACUUCAUCCUGUGCUUACCUUUCUGCAAUGACCCUCAGCAUCUAACAAUCACCCAGCUCAAGGUAGGGGCUCAAGACUUGCUCUCUGAAUACAUAGAUCUCUUUCUUCCUGAAGGACAGAGGAUGAACAUGGCAGCAUGGAAGAUCUACAGGCUUGAAUCUCACCAUGUCUUGCAAACCCACCGGAAGGAGUCCCCCUGGGUGAGGUCAGGCAGUGUCGCCCUCUGCCACGCCAUGUGGCUUUACCAUCCAUGUGUUCCAAGAACAUUUCAAGGCAGCUUAAUAUCAUCAUGAGUUUCACUGAAUCUGUCUGUGUGGGGCCCAAGAAAGACAGCGGAGGUCCACUGGAGUUGACGUUCUGAAACUUAUCGUCUGCUCCCCUCAGUUUGCACACACCUGUUCCAACUUUACAUGGAACUUCCUACCCCACCCCUACCACCUCCUAGACAUGCAUCUUGUCCUCCCACCAGCUACAGGCCCUGCCAGAUUUUCAAAUCCCAGUGUGGGGCCUGGUGUAGUGGGGUCAAAGGGUUCGCUCUGCAAUUCAGAAGGCCAGGCAAGGGCAGGCUCUGCUUUACUUCCCGUGGCUGGCAUGGUCUCUCUUGUGUCCCUUCUCCAGUGAAUAGGGAAGGGGAAGAGGGCCGGGAAGGGGAAGAGGGCCGGGAAGGGAGGGUUUGGCAAUGGAAGGUAUCUGCUUCUCUUGGCUUAACAAGGUGUCUAUGGUUACCUCGGUUUCUUUGGAGUUAAUGCAAAAUUCAAGACUCAGGUCUCUCGGGAAGGCGCUUCCUUGACUUACAACUUCUGUCUUUUCCCCUCUGUUUCCCUCCCUGGAUGAAGUGGUGGGUGCUACAGGCAGGGUCUCCUCAUGGGUUAGGUGACAUCUGUGCUCCAACAGCAAUGCGUGGCUGAGGUUUCUCACCCUGCUUUUCGCUGGUGUCCACCUAGGUUCUUGCAUCCCAACCUGCUGGGGUUGACAAAGAUUCUCCACUUCACCAAAUGUUAGCCAGGCUCCUGCACCUCCCCCAGACCCACCUGUGCACUUCCUUCCAAAAUCCAGGUUUACCAAGAACUUCAGUAAGUUACUUUACCAAUAACCCCCACCUUCGAUAUCUGAUCACCCUUGAUACCUGAUCAGGCUCCUGAUCUUCCUGCACGGUUAUGGCAGUGAGUAGG
rnacentral:lncRNA from 1 species